ACACAUGCAAGUCGAACGAGAGAGAGGGAGCUUGCUUCCUCAAUCGAGUGGCGAACGGGUGAGUAACGCGUGAGGAACCUGCCUCAAAGAGGGGGACAACAGUUGGAAACGACUGCUAAUACCGCAUAAGCCCACGGGUCGGCAUCGACCAGAGGGAAAAGGAGCAAUCCGCUUUGAGAUGGCCUCGCGUCCGAUUAGCUAGUUGGUGAGGUAAUGGCCCACCAAGGCAACGAUCGGUAGCCGGACUGAGAGGUUGAACGGCCACAUUGGGACUGAGACACGGCCCAGACUCCUACGGGAGGCAGCAGUGGGGAAUAUUGCACAAUGGGGGAAACCCUGAUGCAGCGACGCCGCGUGGAGGAAGAAGGUCUUCGGAUUGUAAACUCCUGUUGUUGAGGAAGAUAAUGACGGUACUCAACAAGGAAGUGACGGCUAACUACGUGCCAGCAGCCGCGGUAAAACGUAGGUCACAAGCGUUGUCCGGAAUUACUGGGUGUAAAGGGAGCGCAGGCGGGAAGACAAGUUGGAAGUGAAAUCUAUGGGCUCAACCCAUAAACUGCUUUCAAAACUGUUUUUCUUGAGUAGUGCAGAGGUAGGCGGAAUUCCCGGUGUAGCGGUGGAAUGCGUAGAUAUCGGGAGGAACACCAGUGGCGAAGGCGGCCUACUGGGCACCAACUGACGCUGAGGCUCGAAAGUGUGGGUAGCAAACAGGAUUAGAUACCCUGGUAGUCCACACCGUAAACGAUGAUUACUAGGUGUUGGAGGAUUGACCCCUUCAGUGCCGCAGUUAACACAAUAAGUAAUCCACCUGGGGAGUACGACCGCA
rnacentral:rRNA from 1 species